rnacentral:rRNA from 1 species
GACCUUGAAAUACCACCCUUUAAUGUUUGAUGUUCUAACGUUGACCCGUAAUCCGGGUUGCGGACAGUGUCUGGUGGGUAGUUUGACUGGGGCGGUCUCCUCCUAAAGAGUAACGGAGGAGCACGAAGGUUGGCUAAUCCUGGUCGGACAUCAGGAGGUUAGUGCAAUGGCAUAAGCCAGCUUGACUGCGAGCGUGACGGCGCGAGCAGGUGCGAAAGCAGGUCAUAGUGAUCCGGUGGUUCUGAAUGGAAGGGCCAUCGCUCAACGGAUAAAAGGUACUCCGGGGAUAACAGGCUGAUACCGCCCAAGAGUUCAUAUCGACGGCGGUGUUUGGCACCUCGAUGUCGGCUCAUCACAUCCUGGGGCUGAAGUAGGUCCCAAGGGUAUGGCUGUUCGCCAUUUAAAGUGGUACGCGAGCUGGGUUUAGAACGUCGUGAGACAGUUCGGUCCCUAUCUGCCGUGGGCGCUGGAGAACUGAGGGGGGCUGCUCCUAGUACGAGAGGACCGGAGUGGACGCAUCACUGGUGUUCGGGUUGUCAUGCCAAUGGCACUGCCCGGUAGCUAAAUGCGGAAGAGAUAAGUGCUGAAAGCAUCUAAGCACGAAACUUGCC